UAACAAGGAUUCCCCUAGUAACUGCGAGUGAAGCGGGAAAAGCUCAAAUUUAAAAUCUGGCAGUUUCACUGUCCGAGUUGUAAUCUGGAGAAGCAUUUUCCGCGUCAGACCGUGUACAAGUCUCUUGGAACAGAGCGUCAUAGAGGGUGAGAAUCCCGUCCAUGACACGGACUACUGAUGCUUUGUGAUAUGCUCUCGAAGAGUCGAGUUGUUUGGGAAUGCAGCUCAAAAUCGGGUGGUAAAUUCCAUCUAAAGCUAAAUAUUGGCGAGAGACCGAUAGCGAACAAGUACCGUGAGGGAAAGAUGAAAAGCACUUUGGAAAGAGAGUUAAACAGUACGUGAAAUUGUUGAAAGGGAAACGCUUGAAGUCAGUCGCGUUGUCUGAGACUCAGCCUUGCUUGCAUGGUGUACUUCUCAGUUAACGGGUCAACAUCAAUUUCAGUUGGUGGAUAAAGGCAUUGGGAAUGUGGCACCUUCGGGUGUGUUAUAGCCCUUUGUUGCAUACACUGACCGGGAUUGAGGAACGCAGCACGCCACUAAGGCCAGGGGUUCGCCCCAUGUAACGUGCUUAGGAUGUUGGCAUAAUGGCUUUAAGCGACCCGUCUUGAAACACGGACCAAGGAGUCUAACAUGCCUGCGAGUAUUAGGGUGGAAAACCCUUGUGCGUAAUGAAAGUGAAAGUUGGGACCUCUUGCGAGGGCACCGACGCCCGGCCCUGAAGUUUACGGACGGUGCUGCGGUAGAGCAUGUAUGUUGGGACCCGAAAGAUGGUGAACUAUGCCUGAAUAGGGUGAAGCCAGGGGAAACUCUGGUGGAGGCUCGUAGCGAUUCUGACGUGCAAAUCGAUCGUCAAAUUUGGG
rnacentral:rRNA from 1 species